UACGUAGGGGGCGAGCGUUGUCCGAAGUUACUGGGCGUAAAGCGCGCGUAGGCGGGUCUUUAAGGGAGGGGUGAAAGGUUCGGGCUCAACCCGGACACUGCCUUUCAUACUGGGGAUCUUGAGUGCGGGAGGGGCGAGUGGAAUGGUCGGUGUAGCGGUGAAAUGUGUAGAUAUCAGGAGGAACACCUGUGGCGAAAGCGGCGCACUGGACCACAACUGACGCUGAGGCGCGAAAGCUAGGGGAGCAAACAGG
rnacentral:rRNA from 1 species